CUCAGCUGGAAGAGCGCAAGACUGAAGCCUGCCGCUUCAUAAGUGGAUGAACAAAGUCCUUCUUGAGGCCACCUGUUCGAACCAGGUUGGGAGCAAUUUUUUUCUACCGAGUUUACUUUAGUCUCGCAGAUCCCCCGCGAAGACAGGGGGAGACUUGCAUUCGGCUGAACCCCGAGUAAAUUCCCUGCUCUCUGAAGGGUUUGCCGAGCGAAUAAGAGCGC
rnacentral:lncRNA from 1 species